rnacentral:rRNA from 2 species
GGUGGGACAGAUGAUUAGGGUGAAGUCGUAACAAGGUAGCCGUAGGAGAACCUGCGGCUGGAUCACCUCCUUUCUAAGGAAAUUUCGG